rnacentral:lncRNA from 1 species
GCUCAAAGGCUGCCCGGCGCGGACGCCCGCACUUCCUGGCACAAGCGGGCUAGCCAGCCGCAGCUGGGGCCGCGGGGCCGGGCUCGCCGCCCUCUCCCUUCUCCCUUCUCCCUUGAGUAAUAGGGGCGGAGCCGGGCGGGCCGGCGCGCGGGGCUCCAGCCCCUCUCUCGGUGGUCACCUGCGGCCGGGCGCAGCAGGUGUCCGGUCUGCCACCCGGCGCUGGGAACUAGGAGCGCUAGCCAGGAGCCGCGGCACUUCGGAGUCGGAUUAUUGGGAAUUUGCCACUGGGGAUCAGCGCGGCAGCUGUGAGAAUCACGGGGAAGGGGAUCCGGCGGUUUAAACACUGUUGAAGAGACGUGACACAGCAGUGCAGUGUGCCAGCCUACGUUCCUGCUUUGAAGGGGACAAGUUCAUGACAAAUUGGGCCAGUAAAAGAAAUUUGUACUGGUUAGUAAGCUAAAUAUUAGUUUUGUUUGGUUAUUUUGGGUAAUGGUGUUAAGAUUG